rnacentral:rRNA from 1 species
AUUGAACGCUGGCGGCAGGCCUAACACAUGCAAGUCGAGCGAGCGGCGGACGGGUGUGUGAUGUCUGGGAGACUGCCUGAUGGGGGGGGGUAACUACUGUAAACGGUAGCUAAUACCGCAUACCAUCAGAUGUGCCCAGAUGGGGGUAUCUAGUAGGUGGGGUAACGGCGCACCUAGGCGACGAUCCCUAUCUGGUCUGAGAGGAUGACGCGGCCAAUGGGAACUGAGACACGGUCCAGAUUCCUACGGGAGGCAGAAGUGGGGAAUAUUGCACAAUGGGGGCAAGCCUGAGGCACCCAUGCCGCGUGUGGGAAGAAGGCCUUCGGGUUGUAAAGCACUUUCAGCGGGGAGGCGUUACCCGCAGAAGAAGCAACGGCUAACUCCGUGCCAGCCGCCGCGGUAAUUC